rnacentral:sRNA from 1 species
UUUAUGUUCUCGUAAGGGGGGAUGAGAAUCCCCGACCGGGGUUCGACAACUGGCGCAGCCAGUUGGACAGACUGUGAGCAAAGCGAACAGGCUGCCCGCAGGGCGAGCGAAGCGAGUCAAUCCCCCCCUCACCGCCA